GAAAAUAGUCCAGGAAGCAGCUGCGCUCCGGCUUUAAAGAAGAAAAGAAAGGGACAAUUGAGAACAGACAGAAGUGGGAGUCCUCUGUAUACUAAACACUAUGGUGACUUUAAUGAAUGAAGWGGGUUCUGCUCGCAGCGACGACCGACAACGCCAUGUGGUCUCCACUGGAAACAUCGGUUUCUCAAAUGUGCACUCGUGUCUAAGUGCAUGCCACAGGCACCUCCACCCGAUCCCGAUGGAAGUCCACCACAAAGAAGAAGCAGCGUGUGCUGCAGUGAGAUCACUUCCUGCCGGCUCCCCUCCCCUGCUGUGUGCUGUGUCCGUGGACUCCAGCCCUUUCCUGUUCACAUGGAGGAGGAAACAGGAUGAGCAUCCCGGGCAGGAGUGGUCACACAAGGUUUGGAGCUGUGGAAGGAAGAUGUGAUGACCCCGGAAAUGGAAGAGAGGCCAACAGAUACACAGACAUCAGAAAACAUUUGGCUCGCUCGGAUUGUUUGUAAUGCUUUUUUUAAACAUUGGUUUAAAAAUGUUUAUUCCUGGAGAUAAUUAUUGUAUUGUUCUUUUCAGAUAGGAAAUGAGGGGAACU